UGGAUCACCUCCUAACAGGGAGACAACAAAAUGUAAAUAUUAAUUUUGUCACCUUAGGUCGAUCGGUAUCUCAGAUUCUUAUUUUUUUAAGAAUUUCAGUUUCUAAGUUUUUUCUAGGUCACACCCAUCACUUUUUCCUGGGCCAUUAGCUCAGGUGGUUAGAGCGCACCCCUGAUAAGGGUGAGGUCCCUGGUUCAAGUCCAGGAUGGCCCAUAUCUCUAUGUUGGGGGUAUAGCUCAGUUGGUAGAGCGCCUGCUUUGCAAGCAGGAUGUCAGCGGUUCGAGUCCGCUUACCUCCACUGAAUACCACCUCUUACAUAUAUUUAAAGAGGUAAAUUGUUUUGAGUCGUGUCCUAAUUUGCUCUGAGCGAAUCUAGCUUCCUAUUUUAUUUAAUAAAUAAGAUGCUGGACUCAUUGAAUUUUUUUCAUUGUUUUCAGAGAACCUUGACAACUGCAUAGAUUAUUUUUGAAGACAAUAAGCAUCUUUAAUGAUGCAGAUUUAUUAUUUGUGCGAAUGCAUUAAAUAACAAUUCUAUUAAGCUGAUGCUUCAAUUAUUGAAGUUAUUGGUCAAGCUACAAAGGGCUCACGGAGGAUACCUAGGCACACAGAGGCGAUGAAGG
rnacentral:tRNA from 1 species